CGUGAAGUAAGGAAAAUAAAGAUUUAUUGUAUUGCACUUACAGUUAAAAGGAGUAAACAGGCAUGUCUCCACAUAGGUCGUACAGUGUGGAAGGAUCUGUUUCUUAAACAGUAUACACAGCCCAAUGAAUGAAAAAAAAACAAAAAAAAAAAACACACACAUACCAAAGAAAAUAAAUAAAAUAAACUGAAAAAGCAAUGCAGAUGUAAAGUGUCCUAGGUCAUCCAACGCGUUUCGUCCUCAGUAUGGGACAUACUUUUUCCUCACAGAAUGCUAUGUAUGGUCUAACUUUUUGUUCUUGGCUCUCUACCUUAUUCUGGAAAUACUUUACCAGUGGUGUUAUUUUCUCCAUAUACCAGGUUGUUUUCUUAUAUUAUCAUCAGUAUAUACUAGUGUUGUGUGGUUUUCCAUUUCUCCUCUAUUUAUAUUACACAGAAGUCUCAAGUAGACUUCAAAUGAGUUUCCCUCAAAGAAAUGUAAACCAUUUGCCAGUUUCCCGUAUGCACAGCUUACUAUAGUUAAUGUAAUAUGUAGACACACCAUCUGAAUAUAGUUUUACCUAAAUGAUAAAGAGGUAAAUAUAGACCCUUUGUAUAUUUGUGGUUG